GGGGCUAUAGCUCAGUUGGUUAGAGCGCAUCCCUGAUAAGGAUGAGGCCACUGGUUCAAAUCCAGUUAGCCCCACCA
rnacentral:tRNA from 6 species